rnacentral:rRNA from 1 species
GUACGGGAGGCAGCAGUGGGGAAUAUUGCACAAUGGGCGAAAGCCUGAUGCAGCAACGCCGCGUGAGCGAUGAAGGCCUUCGGGUUGUAAAGCUCUGUCUUUGCUGACGAAUAAAUGACGGUAAGCAAGGAGGAAGCCACGGCUAACUACGUGCCAGCAGCCGCGGUAAUACGUAGGUGGCAAGCGUUGUCCGGAAUUACUGGGCGUAAAGAAUGCGUAGGCGGUCUUUUAAGUGGGAUGUGAAAUCCCUGGGCUCAACCCAGGAACUGCAUUCCAAACUGGAAGACUAGAGUGUGGGAGAGGAAAAUGGUAUUCCCAGUGUAGCGGUGAAAUGCGUAGAGAUUGGGAGGAACACCAGUAGCGAAGGCGAUUUUCUGGAACAUAACUGACGCUGAGGCAUGAAAGCGUGGGGAGCAAACAGGAUUAGAUACCCUGGUAG